ensembl:rRNA 5S_rRNA 5S ribosomal RNA
GCUUACGGCCAUACCACCCUGAACACGCCCGAUCUCGUCUGAUCUCGGAAGCUAAGUAGGGUCGGGCCUGGUCAGUACUUGGAUGGGAGACCGCCUGGGAAUACCAGGUGCUGUAAGCU